CUCAGCGAAGUUGAAAUGUUUGUGAUGAUGCAAUCUACCCGCGGCUAGACGGAAAGACCCCGUGAACCUUUACUAUAGCUUUACACUGAACGUUGAGUUCGUCUGUGUAGGAUAGGUGGGAGGCUAUGAAACUGUGGCGCUAGCUGCAGUGGAGCCAACCUUGAAAUACCACCCUGUCGUGCUUGACGUUCUAACCUAGAUCCGUUAUCCGGAUCAGGGACCGUGUAUGGUGGGUAGUUUGACUGGGGCGGUCUCCUCCUAAAGUGUAACGGAGGAGUUCGAAGGUACGCUAGGUACGGUCGGACAUCGUGCUAAUAGUGCAAUGGCAUAAGCGUGCUUAACUGCGAGACCGACAAGUCGAGCAGGUACGAAAGUAGGACAUAGUGAUCCGGUGGUUCUGUAUGGAAGGGCCAUCGCUCAACGGAUAAAAGGUACUCUGGGGAUAACAGGCUGAUACCGCCCAAGAGUUCAUAUCGACGGCGGUGUUUGGCACCUCGAUGUCGGCUCAUCACAUCCUGGGGCUGUAGCCGGUCCCAAGGGUAUGGCUGUUCGCCAUUUAAAGUGGUACGUGAGCUGGGUUUAAAACGUCGUGAGACAGUUUGGUCCCUAUCUGCCGUGGGCGUUGGAAAUUUGAAGGGGGCUGCUCCUAGUACGAGAGGACCGGAGUGGACGAACCUCUGGUGUUCCGGUUGUCACGCCAGUGGCAUUGCCGGGUAGCUAUGUUCGGAAGCGAUAACCGCUGAAAGCAUCUAAGCGGGAAGCGCGCCUCAAGAUGAGACUUCCCGGGGCACAAGCCCCCUAAAGGAACCAUAUAGACUAUGUGGUUGAUAGGUC
rnacentral:rRNA from 1 species